UCUAGGUACAAAGUACCAUUGCACAAUGAUCCAGAGGACAGCUCAUUCGUUUCUCCCCGAUGACUGUAUCAAUGUAAUAAUCGGUCUCCGUCUUUUAUGUUUCGACCGAUUCUCAGGGUUAGUUCGUAAGCCUGGUGAAGCGUCUGUGCUCUUAGUUAUGUCAACCUUGCUUUCACCCUUGGGAUGGGGCAUCUCGAGUGCUAUCUUAGAUGGAAACUCCCGCUGAAGAAGUACGGAAUCAUACCAAAAUACAGCUUUCUCCAUGGCGUCUCUUCAUGUCAAAUAGCAUUGUUGCCUGACAUUUCCUUCAGCAAGUUGGAAGAAAGGAAGCAUAGUUAUAAAGAAUUCACCAAGCUUUAGCUUUUGCAGAGAAGGUUUGAUCAUUGAUGGAGAAACUAAGCCCCACGAAAACAGAUGACCAAUUUUGCAAAGACAUGGGAAGUAAGGCAAGGGAGUUUUGGCAGAGUGUUUUUUAGAACCGCAUGGAAAAUCAGAUUACAGAUGAGUUAACUUGAAGCCAACCCAUUGGAGAAGGCGUCAUUGGCCAAUUCUAGUCGAUCUUUGGUGGCCUAAUUCAUGAAUGGAAAUGGAGGGAGGGGUGGUAUCUGCUAGUUAAUUGGAAACAACGAUCGCAUAUCUUAACCGUCGUAGCCAUGCCUUGUAUUCAAGUUAAUUUAGAUUAGUUUUCCCUAAUUUUACAUUGAAUUAUUUUUUGACUAAUAAGUCCAACUACCUUUACCUUGAGUCAA